UACGUAGGGUGCAAGCGUUGUCCGGAAUUAUUGGGCGUAAAGAGCUCGUAGGCGGUUCGUCGCGUCGGCUGUGAAAACCCGGAGCUCAACUCCGGGCCUGCAGUCGAUACGGGCGGACUUGAGUGUUGCAGGGGAGACUGGAAUUCCUGGUGUAGCGGUGAAAUGCGCAGAUAUCAGGAGGAACACCAGUGGCGAAGGCGCCGCUCUGGGCCGUGACUGACGCUGAGGAGCGAAAGCGUGGGGAGCAAACAGG
rnacentral:rRNA from 1 species